AAUAUAUCUAUCGGUGUUGAACCCCAAGAAGUUAUACUGUGCCUUUAUACAUGGUACGCCACAGACCGCGCAGUAUAUAAGAGCUGCGCGGGAGUGAAUGUAUCAUACGGCACCAUGAAGUGGCUUUUGGCGUUCUGUGUGGUCGUCGCACUAGUGUGCGUCGCGCUGGGUCAAGAUUACCACAGCCGCUACGCCGAACUAGCGUCCCCAGUACCAAGAAAUGUAGACGUACGUCAACUGGUCGACACCCUAAGAUCUGCUCAAAGGGACUAGGUUCCUGCAAAAUGGCCGCGGCAUCCAUCUUGCUUCACCCGCCAUCUUGAAUUGUCUGUCACCUGCGGCUCACUUUUCGGUUAUCUCCCACUAGAUGUAAAUUUGGAAUUAUUUAGUAUUGUAAGUAGAUAUUUUAUUGUUAUUGGCGAUGUUUUUGAUGUUUUUAUUUAUUGUAUUAAAGUUACGAGGUGUGCUUUAGUCGAACAAA